CGGCACGGGUGAGUAACACGUAUCCAACCUGCCGUCUACUCUUGGACAGCCUUCUGAAAGGAAGAUUAAUACAAGAUGGCAUCAUGAGUUCACAUGUUCACAUGAUUAAAGGUAUUCCGGUGGACGAUGGGGAUGCGUUCCAUUAGAUAGUAGGCGGGGUAACGGCCCACCUAGUCUUCGAUGGAUAGGGGUUCUGAGAGGAAGGUCCCCCACAUUGGAACUGAGACACGGUCCAA
rnacentral:rRNA from 1 species